AUGAGGGUGUUCUGGAACUCGGCAGUUGUUGGCAUGAGCUUCAGCUAUUCUCCAUCCCAGGAGGCUCUCAGUAUUUCUGGUUUUGAUCACCAGUGGACAGAACAUAUGGAUUCCUUGACUUCUGGCAGUGCUUUGGUUAUGGGGGCCUAUCUCAAGCAGCUCUCACUUUUGGAGUCCUCUGAGGAACUGAGGUGAGAGAAGAAUAAAAGCCAAUUGCUUUAUUAGAUCA
rnacentral:lncRNA from 1 species